rnacentral:rRNA from 1 species
AGAGUUUGAUCCUGGCUCAGGACGAACGCUUUUGGCGUGCCUAACACAUGCAAGUCGAGCGAAUGAAAUUCCUUCGGGAACGGAUUUAGCGGCGGACGGGUGAGUAACACGUGGGCAACCUGCCUCAUAGAGGGGAAUAGCCUUCCGAAAGGGAGAUUAAUACCGCAUAAGAUUGUAGUACCGCAUGGUACAGCAAUUAAAGGAGCAAUCCGCUAUGAGAUGGGCCCGCGGCGCAUUAGCUAGUUGGUGAGGUAACGGCUCACCAAGGCGACGAUGCGUAGCCGACCUGAGAGGGUGAUCGGCCACAUUGGGACUGAGACACGGCCCACACUCCUACGGGAGGCAGCAGUGGGGAAUAUUGCACAAUGGGGGAAACCCUGAUGCAGCAACGCCGCGUGAGUGAUGACGGCCUUCGGGUUGUAAAGCUCUGUCUUCAGGGACGAUAAUGACGGUACCUGAGGAGGAAGCCACGGCUAACUACGUGCCAGCAGCCGCGGUAAUACGUAGGUGGCGAGCGUUGUCCGGAUUUACUGGGCGUAAAGGGAGCGUAGGCGGAUUUUUAAGUGAGAUGUGAAAUACUCGGGCUUAACCUGAGUGCUGCAUUUCAAACUGGAAGUCUAGAGUGCAGGAGAGGAGAAGGGAAUUCCUAGUGUAGCGGUGAAAUGCGUAGAGAUUAGGAAGAACACCAGUGGCGAAGGCGCUUCUCUGGACUGUAACUGACGCUGAGGCACGAAAGCGUGGGGAGCAAACAGGAUUAGAUACCCUGGUAGUCCACGCCGUAAACGAUGAGUACUAAGUGUCGGCAAAAGUCGGUGCUGCAGUUAACGCAUUAAGUACUCCGCCUGAGUAGUACGUGCGCAAGCAUAAAACUCAAAGGAAUUGACGGGGGCCCGCACAAGCAGUGGAGUAUGUGGUUUAAUUCGACGCAACGCGAAGAACCUUACCAGGGUUUGACAUCCUUUGUCCGCUAUAGAGAUAUAGCUUUCUCUUCGGAGACAAAGAGACAGGUGGUGCAUGGUUGUCGUCAGCUCGUGUCGUGAGAUGUUGGGUUAAGUCCCGCAACGAGCGCAACCCCUGUUGCCAGUUACCAUCAUUAAGUUGGGGACUCUGGCGAGACCGCCGUUGACAAAACGGAGGAAGGUGGGGAUGACGUCAAAUCAUCAUGCCCCUUACGUCCUGGGCUACACACGUACUACAAUGGUAGGAACAACGGGCAGCGAAUCCGCGAGGAGGAGCCAAUCCCCAAAUCCUAUCUCAGUUCAGAUUGCAGGCUGAAACUCGCCUGCAUGAAGCAGGAAUUGCUAGUAAUGGCAGGUCAGCAUACUGCCGUGAAUACGUUCCCGGGCCUUGUACACACCGCCCGUCA